rnacentral:rRNA from 1 species
UACGAAGGGGGCUAGCGUUGUUCGGAAUCACUGGGCGUAAAGCGCACGUAGGCGGCUUGGCAAGUCGGAUGUGAAAUCCCUCGGCUCAACCAAGGAAGUGCAUCCGAAACUGCUGAGCUUGAGUACUUAAGAGGAUCGCGGAAUUCCCGGUGUAGAGGUGAAAUUCGUAGAUAUCGGGAGGAACACCAGUGGCGAAGGCGGCGAUCUGGGAAGAUACUGACGCUGAGGUGCGAAAGCGUGGGGAGCAAACAGG